GCCUACGGGGCGCAGCAGUGGGGAAUAUUGCACAAUGGGGGAAACCCUGAUGCAGCGACGCCGCGUGAGUGAAGAAGUAUUUCGGUAUGUAAAGCUCUAUCAGCAGGGAAGAUAAUGACGGUACCUGAGUAAGAAGCCCCGGCUAACUACGUGCCAGCAGCCGCGGUAAUACGUAGGGGGCAAGCGUUAUCCGGAUUUAUUGGGUUUAAAGGGUGCGUAGGCGGACUGUUAAGUCAGCGGUAAAAGCCCGGGGCUCAACCCCGGCGAGCCGUUGAAACUGGCUGUCUUGAGAUGUCGAGCGGUAG
rnacentral:rRNA from 1 species